UUUGCGAUCGACUGUACACUCAUACGAGCGAGCGAUUUUAGUAAGUUUUCGCACGGAAUUAAAAUUGACUUAACGGCGUACGGGUGAGUAACGCGUGGGUAACCUGCCUCAUACAGGGGGAUUACAGUUAGAAAUGACUGCUAAUACCGCAUAAGCGCACAGUGCUGCAUAUCACAUUGUGAAAAACUCCGGUGGUAUGAGAUGAACCCGCGUCUGAUUAGGUAGUUGGUGAGGUAAUGUCUCACCAAGCCGACGAUCAGAUAGCCGACCUGUAGAGGCUGACCGGCCACCUUGGGACUGAGACACGGCCCAAACUUAUACGGGAGGACACAGUGGGGAAUAUUGUUACCAUGGUGGAAACCCUGAUCCAGCGACGCUCCGUGAGUGAAGAAGUGUUUCGGCAUGUAAAUAUCUAUCAGCAGGGAAGAUAAUGACGGUACCUGACUAAGAAGCCCCGGCUAACUACGUGCCAUCAGCCGCGGUAAUACGUAGGGGGCAAGCGUUAUCCGGAUUUACUGUGUGUAAAGGGAGCGUAGACCGUUCUGCAAGUCUGGAGUGAAAGCCCGGAGCUCAACCCCGGGACUGCUUUGGAAACUGUGGAACUAGAGUGCAGGAGAGGUAAGUAGAAUUCCUAGUGUAGCGGUGAAAUGCGUAGAUCUUAGGAGGAACACCAGUUGCGCAAGCGGCUUACUGGACUGUAACUGACGCUGAGGCUCGAAAGCGUGGGGAGCAAACAGGAAUAAGAUACCCUGGGUAGUCCAGGCCGUAAACCAUGAAAACUUAGGUGUUGGGAAGCAAAGCUCUUUCGGGGCGCCGCUUACGCAAUAAGUUUUCCACUGGGGAG
rnacentral:rRNA from 1 species